ACCCGUUUAGCUCAGUGGCAUAGAGCGAUUCGCUUUUAACGAAUUGGUCGCGGGUUCGAACCCCGCAACGGGUA